rnacentral:rRNA from 1 species
CUACGGGGUGCUGCAGUGGGGAAUAUUGCGCAAUGGGCGAAAGCCUGACGCAGCAACGCCGUGUGAGGGAUGAAGGCUUUCGGGUCGUAAACCUCUGUCGGAAGGGAAGAACGGGCAUUGGUCUAAUAGGCCUUUGUUUUGACGGUACCUUUAGAGGAAGCACCGGCUAACUCCGUGCCAGCAGCCGCGGUAAGACGGAGGGUGCAAGCGUUAUUCGGAAUUACUGGGCGUAAAGCGCACGUAGGCGGCCUUGUAAGUCAGGGGUGAAAUCCCACGGCUCAACCGUGGAACUGCCUUUGAAGCUGCAGGGCUUGAAUCCUGGAGAGGGUGGCGGAAUUCCUGGUGUAGGAGUGAAAUCCGUAGAUAUCAGGAGGAACACCGGUGGCGAAGGCGGCCACCUGGACAGGCAUUGACGCUGAGGUGCGAAAGUGUGGGGAGCAAACAGGAUUAGAUACCCGAGUAGUC